rnacentral:tRNA from 1 species
GAGAAAGUUCCAAGAACUGCUAAUUCUUGAUUCCAUGAUUAACCUUAUGGCUUUCUUA